AUAGUUUUCCCUCUUCCACACAAUAACCAUCUCCCCUCAAAAUGAAUUUUCAAUUCCCAGAAUCACGUUCACAAACAUCGGUUUCCCUCCCCCAACCCUUCAUCAAUUUUGGUUAUCAUUCGCAUUGGCGCUCAAGGAGUCAAACUUCGGAGGUACUUUUCUCUCUACAUCUUCUCCUCGGUAUGAAUCUUUUACUUCGUCGCUCAAUUGCACCACCAGAAGUCACCGCUAAUCCGGCUGAUUCUCUGUCGAAUGAAACAACUAGGGUUAGGGUUUCAGAAAUAAUUUCGUUAACUAAUAGAAUUAGAUAGUAUACUAUACUUGUGUGUCUUUUUUAAUAUGUUUUCAAUCAAUUAUUUCACUGCUAAAGGGAGAACGAAACCCUAGAACAAAAAUAAUAUAUGAUUACAUGCUUAAUUAUGUUGCCCUGUUUCAUUAGUUAAGAGGUGUAUAUGUUGACCCAUUUACAUACCAAUGAGUGAAUUUGAUAUAUAUUUUCUUUUAAAGGGUUAAAUGGGUAAGCUACAGGUUACAAGAGUCAAACGAUUACAUGCCAAAACUUGAUCUUACAUAUUAUUUUCCAUAGGGAAAGACUUCAUAUGGAUUUGUUUGGUCCGGCUUGGCUCGGUUUGUAAACGAGCCAAGCCAAGCUUUAAUUAUGUUGCCCUGUUUCGAUUGCCUUCUCCAUUUGGUUAUUGACUUAAUUUGGUUUGGCUGUAUUCAUCUUCUUUAUGUUCUUGUUUCAAUUGUUUUUUCAUGUUUCAAUGCUGGUGGGUGAUUUCUUGAGACGAAGAGAUGAUGGUGAAGGUUUAAAAGAUUUAUUAAAAGAAAUUGCUGCUUUGGAUUAUGGUUAAGAUGUCUAGUUUAGGCCCACCAUGCUUUCGAUGCAAUUCUAAAGAGAAAAAAAAAAAAAACUAAUAAUGUUUCCUUUGGUGGUUCAAGAGCAAUAACCAGAUUUGGGAAUAGAAAGCCUCAUCUUGCUCUGUUUUUUGCAGAUCUAUUGGAUGAUCCACAUCAGAUUUUUCUGGUCACCGUUGUAGCCACUCAGAGGGCAUUGGCUAUGUAUUCGAGCCCAAAUUGUGACAUGUGGCUCUCUGUUAGCGAGAGAAUUUAAACACGCGUUUUUACCCGGUGACUUCCACCUCUUUCACAUACUUUCCUUGUUAUGUGUUCAAACCCUGAUUACCUUCAUCAAAGUAUCUACGCUGAUUUUCCUCUCGGAUUCGUACGUCCCCGCUUCAAUUUCGGAAAUCUGGUGUUGUGAUUCUAUUUAGGACCGUUGAUUAACGAAAAAUAGUAUUGUGGCGGUCAUGGUGCCCUUAAUCGACAAUGAAGAAAGUGAAGACGGUCACGGUGCCCUUAAUCGAGAUAAUGAGGACGUUUACUCUGAAGAUGAAUAUGUUGAAAUUGUCGUGUUACCCUGAGAAAGCAUGUAUACUCUCUUCGCUUCAUCCUAUAUUCCUAUUACAGUUUACAAAAUCAUGAGAUAUCUAAUACAGUUUCCACUCUCUUCGCUACAUCCUACUGUUCAAUUCUGAACAUGAUGAAAUCCCCAAAAUCAUGAGAAAGCAUGUGAUGGUAAUUCUGACAACCAGGGGUAUUGAAAAAACUACCCAAUCUUUUGGCUGAAGAGCUUAAAGUGAUGUGAAAAGAAGUUGAGUAUAGUCAGUUGGCUAAUGUAGCGACAAUAAGUAGUAAGUGCUGGGACAUAUGAAGUGGAAGUAUAACUACUAAGAAAAUGUUAACACGAUGAUUAUUUAACUCGCAUGAAGAUUAUGAAAGAGAUUCAUGAACACAAUGAAGUUUUAAGUUUUUAUUCAUAUACUUGUUAGUUUACGUUGGGUUAUAUGUUUGAUUAUUAGACUUAGAUCGACACUUAUUAGACAUUUGGAAUCUUUGGAAGAUUGAUUGAAUUUUUAAUUGAAGUGAUUAUUUUAUUAUUUCUACA